AUCUGAACAAUAUCUUGAAAAUAAUUAUGGUAUCUAAUUUUAAAACUAUCCCUACUAGCAAAACUUUUUAUUCAUUAGUGUCUUUUACAUACCAUACUAAGGAUGUCAAUAUGAAAUAAGUUUGAUAAGCCAAUGUUAUAAUGUUAUUACUGGUUACCUUCUCUGAAUAGCAUCCUGCCUAUUAAUGUGUGCCAUGCAGUAAGUAGAAAACUCCAAAUAACCAGAACCAAAUAAAAUUGAAGCCAGACUUUUUUCUAAUCACUCCCCACACACAUUUGGUUAUCUCCUGUAGCAAUUAGUUGGACUCCCAUUUAAGUUUCCCUACCACUGGAGAGAAAUAGUAACCAGUUGAAACCUGGUCAAUACUCAUUGACAGUGUGGGAGGUCUAACAUGUAAAAUAGAUACUUUUCUUGACUCCUCUCCUUCCCCCACUUUCAUUUUCUUUAUUUCCUUUUUUGCCACUAUCCUUUGUUGCUCCCUUGUCCAUGAAGUAGUAGCCAUAGUGUGUCCAUCUCAGGUCAAUAUUUUAAAAAUUUAGUUCUGUUAUCAGCUUCUUGAAUAUAAUAGAGUCAGCCAAAGUACUUGUCCUCCCAGAUAUGGAACUUCAAUCUUCAAACCCAGCUUGCCUCUUGAAAUUCUUGUCUAACAAGACUCUUGGCAAAGACAUUUUGAAGACUUUGGAAUUUUUGCUUCGCAGAUAUAUUGAUGCUAUGCCAAAUAAAUAUUGAAUAGCUACCAAAUAAACAUCCUUUUCUAUUCUGCUGCAUUCCCCAUCUGUACAUUAAAAUACCUGGUAAAUGAAAAUAUUACAAAUGAAAUGUGUGAAAAUGGAAUUCUUCCUCUUUUUUUCCAAUGUGCUUGAUGUCAAUGAUCAUUUUGUAAAAAUCUAGUUUGGGUCCCCAAAUAGUGAAAGUACUCUGGUUUCUGUUUGAUUCAGAAAGUUGGUGGGUUUUUUUUGUUGUUGUUGUUUUGAUUUUUGUGUGUGUGUGUUUGUGUGAAUGUAGCUCUUCGAUAGAGAGGGAGCAUAAAGCUAUUUUCACUAGAUUGAUUUUUUGUUUAGACAAACAGGAUGAGAAGAACUUUGUGAAUACAGGAGGCAAAGAAAGUUUUUAAAUAGCUACCAUUAUGUCUUUAUAUAUUAAAUUUCUUUAUGUAAGAAUAAAUGUAUUGUGGUUUAUUUAUUGGGAAGUCUUCAUUCCCCAUUAAUACCCAGGAUGAUUCAAAGAUCGUGAUUACCAAGAAUUAGAAUAAAAAUUAAGCUAAAACCCAAGUUUUCAACAUGGAACUUGAAAUACAUCUUAAUUGGGGAAAUGUCUAGAGACUUUUUUUGUGUCGUUAGUAAAUUAUACAGGCUGCCAAAACACCACAUUUUCCCAACUAGCUAUGCGAUCACCUUAAAUUAAUGCAUUUUAUUAGGAAAUGGAAGGAAACCAAACCUUUUCUACAGGGUAAAUAUUUAGCAAAUAUUAAGUAAGUCCCUUUGAGCUAUUAAACAAUUAAGAUACAACUAUUCCCUUUAAAAUAUAUAUUCCAAAAAAGGACACACAUACUCAAAUGCUUAUCAGAUAAAUUAAUGUAAUAAAUGGCCCACACGAUUCCACCCUGGUGCUGCAGUUUGUAAAAAAAGAAAAAAUACCUGUUUAAUUGGUUUAAUCAUGACAUUCUUCAUGGGUCAGGGAACUUUUAAGUGGUUAUAAAAAUUGGCUUUAGAAGAGUUUAGAAAUGAUGUGGAUUACUUAUAGACAGGACAAAAUGAACAUGUUUGUUUAUUGAAAAAUGUUAUUGGAAGCAGGAAAUAUUCAGUUUGGCUAAAAUAUAUAAGCACUAUAGGAGAAAAUAGAAGCUUAGGCACAUUACCUACCGGAGAACAAGCAAGUACUUAUAAACUGUAAGAGUCAAAAUGAGAAUACCAGCCUUGCUCAUGGGAGCAAAUGAGUUCCAAUGAAUAAAAUUAUUUGGAAUGCUUUUCCAUGCAAGCUAUUUGCUAUAACUUCCUGCUUCCUUGCACUUUCAGCCCUGACAUGACUCAAGGAAGACAUUUAAUUAAAUGCUGAUGGUCUUUGAUUCUUUUAUAAAACAUCUGAAAAUUUCUCUUUCAAUAGCUUGUUCUUGGGACUAGAAGUUCCCUAGAGGCCAGUCCCCUUAACUCUACAACACCAAAAAUACUAGGGCGAAGAGGGUGUUAUCAUUAAUAAAAUACUCUGGAAUUCUUGGGAAUACAGGAAUCUUUAAUGGAUUUUUGUAAUCAACACUUUACGGUUACAUGUUUACAAAGUGUGUAGUUAGGUCUCUGUAAUACUUAAAGCCUGUGUUGAAAAAAUUAUUUCUACUGAAGUAAAAGGUGCCCCUAUGGUGAAACUAAGGACCACACUCAAUCAAUCAGUGGUACAAUGUGUACCACAAUAGUACAAAAUGUAUUCCUAUUUUCCAAAACGGCUGAAAGAAUAAAUAAAACUAAGUAGUUUAUAGUAGAGUGUGUGUGGAUUUCCACAAUUGCUACUUACGGUUUGGAGCCACAUGAUGUCGCUCUUUACCACAAAAUACGUGAAAGAAGAAAGAAGAGGGGAAAAUUCCUUCUAUUCUUACUGGAAGGAACUAUAUGCACUCUUUGGAGUCUGAAAUAUGGAGGAUGCAGCUGCACUUGACCGACCGAUCAAAAGAUUUCUCUUGACUUUGAGAAACGAUAUUUAAUCAGAACAAAACACUGUGCACUAAAGAUGGAGUUUUCCUGGGGAAGCGGCCAGGAAUCCCGGCGUCUGCUGCUCUUGCUUCUUCUCUUCGCAACCUGGGAGGCAGGGAACGGUCAGCUCCACUACUCGGUCUCCGAGGAGGCCAAACACGGCACCUUCGUGGGCCGCAUCGCACAGGACCUGGGGCUGGAGCUGGCGGAGCUGGUGCCGCGCCUGUUCCGGGUGGCGUCCAAGGGCCGCGGAGAUCUUCUGGAGGUAAAUCUGCAGAAUGGCAUUUUGUUUGUGAAUUCUCGGAUCGACCGCGAGGAGCUGUGUGGGCGGAGAGCGGAGUGCAGCAUCCACCUGGAGGUGAUCGUGGACAGGCCGCUGCAGGUUUUCCAUGUGGACGUGGAGGUGAGGGACAUUAACGAUAACCCGCCGGUGUUCCCAGCAACACAAAAGAACCUGUCCAUCGCGGAAUCCAGGCCGCUUGACUCUCGGUUUCCGCUAGAGGGCGCCUCGGAUGCCGAUAUCGGGGAGAACGCCGUGCUCACUUACAGACUGAGCCCAAAUGAAUACUUUUCUCUGGAAAAACCAUCUGAUGAUGAGCUGGUAAAAGGUCUUGGGCUUAUACUAUGGAAAUCUUUAGACAGAGAAGAAACUCCGGAGAUAUUUUUAGUGCUCACAGCAACUGAUGGAGGCAAACCCGAGUUGACUGGUACUAUUCAGUUACUCAUCACAGUACUGGAUGCCAAUGACAAUGCCCCAGCUUUUGACAGAACCCUUUAUAAGGUGAGAUUACCAGAAAAUGUUCCUAAUGGAACACUGGUAAUUAAACUUAACGCCUCAGAUUUAGACGAAGGAUUGAAUGGGGACAUUGUUUAUUCAUUCUCAAAUGAUGUUUCGCCAAAUGUGAAAUCCAAGUUUCACAUAGAUCCAAUUACUGGACAAAUUAUUGUAAAGGGAUAUAUUGAUUUUGAAGAAAGCAAAUCCUAUGAAAUUAUUGUAGAGGGCAUUGAUAAGGGACAGCUCCCACUUUCUGGCCAUUGUAGAGUUAUUGUGGAAGUAGAAGACAACAACGAUCAUGUCCCAGAUUUGGAAUUCAAGUCUUUAUCACUACCAAUUAGAGAGGACGCUCCACUGGGUACAGUCAUCGCCCUGAUCAGCGUGUCCGACAAAGACAUGGGUGUCAAUGGGCUGGUCACCUGCUCCUUGACGUCCCACGUCCCUUUCAAGCUGGUGUCCACCUUCAAGAAUUACUACUCGUUGGUGCUGGACAGUGCCCUGGACCGCGAGAGCGUGUCAGCCUAUGAGCUGGUGGUGACCGCGCGGGACGGGGGCUCGCCUUCCCUGUGGGCCACGGCCAGUGUUUCUGUGGAGGUGGCCGACGUGAACGACAACGCGCCAGCGUUCGCGCAGCCCGAGUACACGGUGUUCCUGAAGAGAACAACCCGCCCGGGCUGCCACAUCUUCACGCGAUUAUUGUCUCGCGGCGGGGCCUUGGCGUGUACAGCGCAGGAGAAGCAGCCGUGUCUACUGGCGGUGGAGCGGCGGGUGGCGGCGCGCGCUGUCGAGCUACGUGUAGGUGCGCGGAGCGGCAAGGUGUACAGCUGCAAUCACUGAACCACGAGCUGGAGCUGCUGGUUUCCAGGUGGCGCGCUUGUAGCAGCAGGCGUGCCACCUCUGGGCAACAGCGUGGCGCUGCAGGUGUUCCGUGCUGGGCGAGCGACAACGGCGCCAGCACUGCUGGCGCCUCGGGCGGUGGCAUCGGUGGCUCAGUGGCGAGCUGGUGCCAUGGUGAUAGGUGGAGUGCGGGCACGUGGUGCUUAGCAAGAGUCUUGCGCGGUGGAUGCUGACUCAGGCUGCGCGUGGCUUUUGUCUGACUGCAGCUGGGGACUGGUGGCGCGCGCAUCCCGUUCAGCGUGGGGCUGUACAGGAGAAUCAGCACGGCGCGUGUCCUGGCAGAAGCGGACGCUCGCGCCACCGCCUACUGGUACUGGUGAAGGCCACGGCAAGCCCGCACUGGCAGCCCACGGCCACCGUGCUGGUGUCAUUUGGAGAGUGGACAGGCGCCAAAACCUCUCCACCCCGGGCGUUGUCGAGCUGCAAUGAGUCCCGAGGCUGCGCUGGUGGAUGUCAACGUGUAUCUGAUGGGCGUUGCCAUCUGCGCGGUGUCUGGCAACACCCCCAGUGCUCACGCUGCUGCUGCACACCGCGCUGCGGUGCUCGACACCGCCCACCGAGCGCAUGCGCUCGGGCAAGCCCCACACUGGUGUGCUCAGCGCGCGGUGGGGGCUGGUCAUACUCGCAGCAGAGGAGGCCGAGGUGUGCUCUGGUGAGGCCCACCCAAGACCGACCUCAUGGCCUUCAACCCCAGUUUACCUGACUCUGAGACAGAGAAGAUCAGCUGCAGACAACUGAGGAAUGCUUUAAAGGUUAG